GGACUACACGGGUAUCUAAUCCCGUUCGCUCCCCUGGCUUUCGUGUCUCAGCGUCAGCACACCCCCAGCGAGUUGUUUUCACCAUUGGCGUUCCAAAUGAUAUCUACGCAUUUCACCGCUCCACCAUUUGUUCCACUCGCCCCUAGGUGGCUCAAGACUCCCAGUAUACCCAGCCGUUCCACGGGUAAGCCGUGGGAUUUCACAAGGUACUUAGAAGUCCGCCUACACACGCUUUAAGCCCAGUGAUUCCGCCUAACGCUCGAGGCCUCUGUAUUACCGCGGCGGCUGGCAC
rnacentral:rRNA from 1 species